rnacentral:rRNA from 1 species
AAUCAACGCUGGCGGCGUGCCUCAGACAUGCAAGUCGAACGCGAAAGUUCCCUUCGGGGAGCGAGUAGAGUGGCGUACGGGUGAGUAACACGUAGGUAAUCUACCUUUGGGUGGGGAAUAACAGCCGGAAACGGCUGCUAAUACCGCAUAAUGCAGCGGCUCGACAUCGAGACAGUUGUUAAAGCGGGGGAUCGCAAGACCUCGCGCCUAAAGAGGAGCCUGCGGCGGAUUAGCUAGUUGGUGAGGUAAUGGCUCACCAAGGCAUCGAUCCGUAGCCGGCCUGAGAGGGCGGUCGGCCACACUGACACUGACAUACGGGUCAGACUCCUACGGGAGGCAGCAGUCGGGAAUUUUGGGCAAUGGGCGAAAGCCUGACCCAGCAACGCCGCGUGAAGGAUGAAAUCCCUCGGGA